rnacentral:rRNA from 1 species
AUUGAACGCUGGCGGCAUGCCUUACACAUGCAAGUCGAACGGCAGCACGGGAGCAAUCCUGGUGGCGAGUGGCGAACGGGUGAGUAAUAUAUCGGAACGUGCCCAGUCGUGGGGAUAACGUAGCGAAAGCUACGCUAAUACUGCAUACGAUCUAUGGAUGAAAGCGGGGGAUCGCAAGACCUCGCGCGAUUGGAGCGGCCGAUAUCAGAUUAGGUAGUUGGUGAGGUAAAGGCUCACCAAGCCGACGAUCUGUAGCUGGUCUGAGAGGACGACCAGCCACACUGGGACUGAGACACGGCCCAGACUCCUACGGGAGGCAGCAGUGGGGAAUUUUGGACAAUGGGCGCAAGCCUGAUCCAGCAAUGCCGCGUGCAGGAUGAAGGCCUUCGGGUUGUAAACGUUGCUUUUGUACGGUAACGAAACCGGUGGAAGCGUCUAAUACAGUUUGUCUAAUG